rnacentral:rRNA from 1 species
AGGGCGUACGGCGGAUGCCUAGGCUCUGGAAGGCGAUGAAGGACGUGGCAAGCUGCGAAAAGCCAUGGGGAGGUGCAAGCGACCCUUGAUCCAUGGAUGUCCGAAUGGGGCAACCCGGCAGUCUGACGGACUGUCACCCGCGCCUAAGCGCGGGAGCGAACCCCGGGAACUGAAACAUCUUAGUACCGGGAGGAAGAGAAAACAAAAUGUGAUACCCCAAGUAGUGGCGAGCGAACGGGGCACAGCCCAAACCCGCCCGGUUCCGGCCGGACGGGGGUUGUGGGACUGCGACACGGCAAGAGAUCAUGCGAGUGGAAUUGUCUGGAAAGACAAGCCGCAGCGGGUGACAGCCCCUUACACGAAGCAUGACGAAGCCCAGCAGAAUCCCGAGUAGCGCGGGGCACGUGAAACCCUGUGUGAAUCCGGCGGGACCAUCCGCCAAGGCUAAACACUCUCCAGAGACCGAUAGCGAACCAGUACCGUGAGGAAAGGUGAAAAGAACCCAUAGCAUGGGAGUGAAAAAGUACCUGAAACCGUACGCCUACAAGCGGUAGGAGCUGCCUUCUGGCAGUGACUGCGUGCCUUUUGCAUAAUGAACCUACGAGUUGCCGUCGUCAGCGAGGUUAAGUGGCAGCGAGCCACGCAGCCGAAGCGAAAGCGAGUCUGAACAGGGCGCAUAGUUGCCGGCGGCAGACGCGAAACCAAGUGAUCUACCCAUGGCCAGGUUGAAGUCCCGGUAACACGGGAUGGAGGACCGAACCGAUAAGCGUUGAAAAGCUUCCGGAUGAGCUGUGGGUAGGAGUGAAAGGCCAAUCAAACUUGGAGAUAGCUCGUACUCCCCGAAAAGCAUUUAGGUGCUGCCUGGGGUGUUUCCCUGCGGAGGUAGAGCGACCGGUUGGAUGCGAGGGCUUCACCGCCUAUCAAGUCCUGUCGAACUCCGAAUGCCGCAGGGUGAAGCCCUGGAGAAAGGGGACGGGUGCUAACGUCCGUUCCCGAGAGGAGAAGAAUCCAGACCACCGUCUAAGGCCCCGAAGUCGCAGCCGAGUUAGGCUAACGAAGUCUCUUCCCCAUGACAGCUAGGAUGUUGGCUUGGAAGCAGCCAUUCAUUCAAAGAGUGCGUAACAGCUCACUAGUCGAGGGAUCAGGCAUGGAUAAUAAUCGGGUAUAAGCUGCGCGCCGAAGCCGUGGGAAUCGAUAAGAUUCGGUAGGGGAGCAUUCCGGUCGGCAGUGAAGGCAGGGCGCGAGCCCUUCUGGAGCGUCCGGAAAAGCAGAUGUAGGUAUAAGUAACGAUAAGGAGGGUGAGAACCCCUCCCGCCGUAAGACCAAGGGUUCCCGGGCGACGUCAAUCGGCCCGGGGUAAGUCGGUGCCUAAGGAUAAGGCGAACGCCGAAGCCGAUGGAAGAAACUGUCAACAUUCAGUUACUGGCUCUCUGUGCGACGCGGUGACGCGGUCGUGAAACCUCCGCGCCCUGACGGAAUAGGGCGUUGAAGGGUGUAGGAGUUGAUUCCGGCAGUGAAGUACACCGGAUGAUCCGAACCUGACAGUAUGCAACGGGCUCCGGCCCCGCGCAAUAGCGAGGGUAAGCAUGCCGCCAAGAAAACCCGCUAAGCUCCAGCAGAGAGGCAGCCGUACUCUAAACGGACACACGUGGUCGGGUAGAAUAUACCAAGGCGCUCGGGUGACUCGCGGUUAAGGAACUAGGCAAACUGACCCCGUAACUUCGGGAAAAGGGGUCCUCAUCGCAAGGUGAGGCGCAGAGAAUAGGUCCAGGCAACUGUUUACCAAAAACACAGGACUGUGCCAAGCAUAGAGGCGACGUAUACAGUCUGACACCUGCCCGGUGCCGGAAGGUUAAGAGGAGAUGUCAUCCCUCGGGAGAAGCAUUGAAUUGAAGCCCCGGUAAACGGCGGCCGUAACUAUAACGGUCCUAAGGUAGCGAAAUUCCUUGUCGGGUAAGUUCCGACCUGCACGAAUGGUGUAAUGAUCCGGACACUGUCUCAACCGCGAGCCCGGUGAAAUUGUAGUAUCGGUGAUGAUGCCGAUUACCCGCGAUGGGACGAAAAGACCCCGUGAACCUUUACUGCAGCUUAGUGCUGCGUCCGGGCAUCGGAUGUGUAGGAUAGGCCGGAGGCUGAGAAGCGGGCACGCCAGUGUUCGUGGAGCCGCCGUUGAAAUACGGCCCUUCCGCUGUCUGGACGCUAACUCCCCCUGUGGAGGACACCGCUUGGCGGGCAGUUUGACUGGGGUGGUCGCCUCCAAAAGCGUAACGGAGGCUUCUAAAGGUGCCCUCAGGACGAUUGGUAACCGUCCGCAGAGUGUAAUGGCAAAAGGGCGCUUGACUGGGAGGCAGACAUGCCGAGCAGGUAGGAAACUAGAGCAUAGUGAUCCGGUGGUUCCGUAUGGAAGGGCCAUCGCUCAAAGGAUAAAAGGUACUCCGGGGAUAACAGGCUGAUCCCUCCCAAGAGCUCAUAUCGACGGAGUGGUUUGGCACCUCGAUGUCGGCUCGUCACAUCCUGGGGCUGGAGCAGGUCCCAAGGGUUCGGCUGUUCGCCGAUUAAAGUGGCACGCGAGCUGGGUUCAGAACGUCGUGAGACAGUUCGGUCUCUAUCUAUCGUGGGCGUAUGAGAUUUGCGCGGCUCGGGCAUUAGUACGAGAGGACCGUGCCUGACCGACCUCUGGUCCGCCUGUUGUGCCGCCAGGUGCACUGCAGGGUAGCUAAGUCGGGAUCGGAUAAGCGCUGAAUGCAUCUAAGCGCGAAGCCGGCCGCAAGAUUAGAUCUCACAGGGUCGUCGUAGACUACGACGUUGAUAGGCUGCAGGUGUAAAGACGGCGACGUCAAAGCCGAGCAGUACUAAUUGCCCGCCAUCUUUGCC